AUUGAACGCUGGCGGCAUGCCUAACACAUGCAAGUCGAACGAAGGCUUCGGCCUUAGUGGCGCACGGGUGAGUAACGCGUGGGAAACUGCCUAUUGGUGGGGAAUAACGACGGGAAACUGUCGCUAAUACCGCAUAAGCCCUUCGGGGGAAAGAUUUAUCGCCGAUAGAUGUGCCCGCGUCCGAUUAGCUAGUUGGUGAGGUAAUGGCUCACCAAGGCGACGAUCGGUAGCUGGUCUGAGAGGAUGAUCAGCCACACUGGGACUGAGACACGGCCCAGACUCCUACGGGAGGCAGCAGUGGGGAAUAUCGGACAAUGGGCGAAAGCCUGAUCCAGCAAUGCCGCGUGAGUGAUGAAGGCCUUAGGGUUGUAAAGCUCUUUCGGGUGGGACGAUGAUGACGGUACCACCAGAAGAAGCCCCGGCUAACUUCGUGCCAGCAGCCGCAGUAA
rnacentral:rRNA from 1 species